GAAGCUGACCAGACAGUCGCCGCUUCGUCGUCGUCCUUUCGGGGAGACGGGCGGAGGGGAGGAAAGUCCGGGCUCCAUAGGGCAGGGUGCCAAGGUAACGCCUGGGGGGGAAACCCACGACCAGUGCAACAGAGAGCAAACCGCCGAUGGCCCACGUAAGUGGGAUCAGGUAAGGGUGAAAGGGUGCGGUAAGAGCGCACCGCGCGGCUGGUAACAGUCCGUGGCACGGUAAACUCCACCCGGAGCAAGGCCAAAUAGGGGUUCAUAAGGUACGGCCCGUACUGAACCCGGGUAGGCUGCUUGAGCCAGUGAGCGAUUGCUGGCCUAGAUGAAUGACUGUCCACGACAGAACCCGGCUUAUCGGUCAGUUUCACCU
rnacentral:RNase_P_RNA from 1 species